CAAUCCAUGUGCGGCUAAUCCGUGUAAGAAUGGUGGCACAUGUGAAGUUCGUCCAGAUUAUUCCUACAGAUGUGCAUGUACUCCAAACAGUAGAGGUUCACAUUGUCAAUACUCUUGCAUCAAAGAAUGGAUACUGCAUGAGACAACGUGUUACUACUUCAGCACCUUUGGAGUUAAUUGGUUGCGUGCACAGAAUUAUUGUAUCAAUAACAAUGGUAGGCUGGCUGAACCUGGCUCUUACUCUAAGAUAUCAUUUUUGAAAAGCAAAGCAGCGGGAUUUAAAACAACUUUUUGACUUGGAGGCACUGAUAGAAUUACAGAAGGUUCAUUUAAAUGGGUCACUAGCAAGUCAUACAUUCGUUAUACUGAUUGGGCACCA